rnacentral:rRNA from 1 species
CCUACGGGAGGCAGCAGUGGGGAAUAUUGCACAAUGGGGGAAACCCUGAUGCAGCGACGCCGCGUGAGUGAAGAAGUAAUUCGUUACGUAAAGCUCUAUCAGCAGGGAAGAAAAUGACGGUACCUGAGUAAGAAGCCCCGUCUAACUACGUGCCAGCAGCCGCGGUAAUACGGAGGGGGCAAACGUUAUCCGGAUUUACUGGGUGUAAAGGGAGCGUAGACGGUGGGCCAAGUCUGGAGUGAAAUGCCGCAGCUUAACUGCGGAACUGCUUUGGAAACUGGCGAACUAGAGUGCGGGAGGGGUAUGCGGAAUUCCUGGUGUAGCGGUGAAAUGCAUAGAUAUUAGGAGGAACUCCGGUGGCGAAGGCGGCUUACUGGAGCGUAACUGACGUUGAUGCACGAAAGCGUGGGGAGCGAACAGGAUUAGAUACCCUUGUAGUC